UUCUUCAGAGUAUCUGGUAUGAUGCUAUGUUUUGGUUCUAGAAGAGAAACAAUGUUGAUAAUGCUUAUGUUUAUAGUUGUUGCUAAGCAGUGUUGUACAGAGCCAAGGUCUAUGCAGUGAAGGGCCCAAGGAGCUGGGAUGGAAUCGGGUUAGCUGACUUAAACUGGCCGAAGUGAUAUUCCAUACUAUAUAACAUCAUGUGGAAGGAGAGUUCUGAAGGGGAUCUGGUAGAAUUUGAACCUGAGGCUCACACUGCAGCAAUACAGCAAUACCGAACAGUGGAAAUAAAGUAAAUCACAGAGGAUAACAUCAUCAAAGAAGUUGCUGCUUGCAGAGUGAAGUGCCCUCCUAUAAGAAGCUAGAGAAAAUGGAUGUGUACCAGCAUCUUUACUUAAAGGAAUGGGGAAACUUACUCUCCAUGGACAUCAAAUUCCAGGAGAAACUUCAUUACAAAAGUGUACAUUUAUUAUAUUGUGUGCUGGCUCUAUAUCUAAGCUGCACACAAUUAGGCAGUAAUUAACUGACUACUCGACAGAUCCUAUUCUCCUUUUUUCUAAGCAGAGCCUGGAAAUGGGAAGAGAUUAAUCUUUUACCACUAAGUUAUAAAAGAAAAUUUUCUUAAUUUGAUCUUGAGAUUGAUUUCUUCUAAAACUGGUAUUUUGAAAAGAGCCUCCAUCCACUAGCUGGAAGAAAUUUGCAGAAAUGAAUCUGAUCAUAUUCAGGGCUCAAACCUCAGAUGGUUUGUACAUGCUGGCAAUCCUUGUAGUGUUGGUUUGAUUAUAUGCAGAGGCAAGACUGGAAGGGCUGGGUUGUAGCUGAGAAAGCAGUGUGCUCCUUGAGGCAGAGGACAUGAAGUACUGAAAGAUAGCUUAAUGAUAGUGCACAUUGAAAAUCUUAAGGUCU